GGGGCCGUAGUCUAGCCUGGACUAGGACGCAAGGCUUGGGCCCUUGUGGUCGCGGGUUCAAAUCCCGCCGGCCCCA
rfam:Sulfolobus tokodaii str. 7 DNA, complete genome.